GCUUACGGCCAUAUCAGCCUGGGUACGCCCGAUCUCGUCUGAUCUCGGAAGCUAAGCAGGGUCGGGCCUGGUUAGUACUUUGAUGGGAGACCGCCUGGGAAUACCAGGUGCUGUAAGCA
rnacentral:rRNA from 1 species